AAGCUGCGAAAAGCCACGGGGAAGAGCAAAUAUCUAGCGAGCCGUGGAUAUCCGAAUGAGGAAACUCACAUAGUGAAAAUAGACUAUGUAUUUAUAUGUAAGUAAAGUAGCAUAUAAAGGGGAACGUGGGGAACUGAAACAUCUUAGUACCCAUAGGAAAAGAAAGUAAAAACGAUUCCUAAAGUAGUGGCGAGCGAAAUAGGAAGAGCCCAAACCAAGAGUAGAAAUACCCUUGGGGUUCGGACUACAAUAAGUUAUCUAUAAUUCUAGUAGAAUUGUCUGGGAAGGCAAACCAUAGAAGGUGAGAGUCCAGUAUAUGAAAGGAAAGUAGAGACUAGUAGAAUCCAGAGUAGUGUGAGACACGAGAAAUCUUGCAUGAAAGAGCGGGGACCAUCCCGUAAGGCUAAAUACUACUUGGUAACCGAUAGAGAUGAGUACCGUGAGGGAAAGGUGAAAAGGACCCCGGGAGGGGAGUGAAAGAGAACCUGAAACCCUAUGUUUACAAGCAGAUAAAGCGAAUUAAGGCGCGAUAUCGUACUUUUUGUAGAACGGUCCAGCGAGUUAUUGUAUAUGGCGAGGUUAAGUUGUAAGUAAGCAACGAAGCCGGAGUGAAAGCGAGUCUGAAGAGGGCGUAAAAGUCAUAUGUAAUAGACCCGAAACCGGGUGACCUAUCCAUGGUCAGGAUGAAGCUAAAGUAAAAUUUAGUGGAGGUCCGAACUGAUUGUCGUUAAAAAGGCACCGGAUGAACUGUGGAUAGCGGAGAAAUUCCAAUCGAAC
rnacentral:ncRNA from 1 species